rnacentral:rRNA from 1 species
GUUCGUAGGUGAACCUGCGGAGGAUCAUUA